UGUAUGUAUAUGUGUAUUUAUUAUCAAGUGGUUAAAGGCAAAGAGGCAUCCUUUAAAAAUUGGAAAUAAAAUCCUAGUAAGGAAAAUAGAAGGGAACAUAACCUCUGGCAAGUCAAGUGUAACAGUAUAAUAAAGAAAGCCAAAAAAGAAUUUGAAGAACAACUAGGUAAAGACACAAAAACUCA